GUUUUACCCAACAUUUGUGUUUGGAAAAUACCUCUUCCAAUAUAACAGUUGUUUUCAAGUCGAUCCGCUGUUUGAUAUAGUGGAAUGUUUGCAUAAGUUAGGUUUUAUGAACUUCUUCCAUUUUGAAAUUUACCUUGGAGUACGGUAGUUUUGUAAAUAUUUUGUUCAUGUAAUAAUAACGACAUAGGACCAUUUCAUCCGUAAUACAAGCAAAGUUACAAGUAGUUUAAAUUUCUUAAAUAUUAUAGGUCGCAAUAAGGGAUAUUUCUGUAUUGUAAUCACCAACCAUACAGGACCCAUUUCUGAUACCCAAAAACAUUGACAAAAGCAGCUAGAUAGUUUUCAUUUUUACUUUUUCAAUGUAAAUGCUUGUAACUGAUGCAACUGAACACUAAACAUAAAUUAUGAUUUGAGUUAGAGAGUGACAAGUUUAUGCUAUACAUUAAGAUAUGUCGAGAAGUCAUUCAAUUGACAUGUUUAACUUGAACUAUUAUAACCAAGUAUCACAAGUGCUUAUACAUGUACAAAAGGUGAAGUAUUUUAUACAGAUGAGGCCAUCACAGGUUGUCAGCUGUCUCUUUUUGUUGAUCAUCAUCGAUCAAUCCUUUGCAAAUUGUGUGUGGUUUCUAUUGAAAUUAGAUGCAAAAUUUAUACAUAAUUAAACUUAAAUUAAGCGAAGAAAAUCUUCAAUUUUGAAAUGUUACACAGUUCUUUUCCAGUUAAUGUUUAUUUUGGUAUAUUCCCCAAAAUUAUUCAUAUAUCAAAUCAAUAUGACAGCAACUGCGAGUGUACGUCUAUUCGUUUGAAGAUCUACACUCUGGUGUUUUUAUCUCUUUGUUAGUUGUAUCUGUGAUGAGUUCAUAUUGAACGAAACACUCCCUUUCCGACUGAUUUAUUUUUUACUUCCUUUUGAUUUU
rnacentral:lncRNA from 1 species